rnacentral:rRNA from 1 species
AUAUCAAUAAGCGGAGGAAAAGAAACCAACAGGGAUUGCCUCAGUAACGGCGAGUGAAGCGGCAUCAGCUCAGAUUUGAAAGCCGGCGCUUGCGCCUGCAUUGUAAUCUGCAGAGGAAUGUUCGGUCGCGGGAUGGGCGCAAGUCUUUUGGAAUAAAGCGCACGAUAGGGUGAGAGCCCCGUAUCCGCCUCGACCCAAGACCGUUUGAACAUCCUUCGACGAGUCGAGUUGUUUGGGAAUGCAGCUCAAAACGGGUGGUAAAUUCCAUCUAAAGCUAAAUAUUGGCACGAGACCGAUAGCGAACAAGUACUGUGAAGGAAAGAUGAAAAGCACUUUGAAAAGAGAGUUAAGAGCACGUGAGACCGUUAAAGGGGAAGCGAUUGGAGCUAGCAGUGUGGCGGAGAUGAUCAGCUAGUGGCGGUCUCGCCGGCAGGCUUUGGUAGCGCAAGCACCGGGUUUGUCGUCAUGGGGCUGUCCACUGGUGUACUCUUUUCCGUUGCAGGUCAACAUCGGUUUUCCGGUGCGGGUAAAAGCAGUCGGGGAGGUAAUCAGCUUCGGCUGAUGUUAAAACCGAUUGUGCUA